UUUUAUCCGUUAAAUUUGAUUUGAUUCGUUAUUUGUUAUGAUUCGAUCCAAAAAAUCUGAAUAUCGGUAAGUCUUCGGAGCAAAGCAAAUACUAAAACUCAAUAUCUGUUAAAAACGAAGAAAAUUACAAAUAUUAAAAAAUUUAGAGACAGGUAUCCGCUCUGCUCCGCUUUAUACAACUAGAUAUAUAUCUACAAUUAAAUAUUAAAUUUCAAAUAUACAAUUUUAUAUAAUUAUUAUUUUAAAGUAUAGUUUUAUUAAUUUUAUUUAUAAAAUUACUUAUAAAAGUAUUAAAUUAAGAAAGGAGUAUACAAUCUUUAUAAAAACUACAAUUUUCUAAAAUUUUGUGUUUUAAAAAAUAAUAAUUAAUUUUAAAAUUUAUGGAACAUAUAGUUUCACUAAAUUUUUACUUUAUAUUAUGUAACAGAUAUCUUUUGAAAAAAGCUUGUAUAGUUUUUUUCCUGAAUUUAUUUGUAUCGAAUAUAAUAGAUGAGAUAUCUGUAAAGAUUUCUAAACACUAGUAAAAAACAUGGCCAUACCUACGAAUUUGCUACGCAAAUUUCGUAGCAAAAUCGAAAAAACCACGAAUUUGCCACUAUUUACUACGAAACACUAUUCGUAGCGAACAAUAUCAAUUUCGUAGCAAAUUUUGCUACGCUUUCGCUACGAAUGUAAACGUGGCAACAUAAUAGCUACGAUUUUGCUACAAAUAAUUCGUGGAUACAGAACAGAUACGAUUUUGCUACGAAAUUUUCCGUUGGUGUUACAGAAUAGCCACGAUUUUGCCACGAAAAAUUUGUGGCUACAUGAAACCCUAUACCCUAAAUAUGUGUUAACCCCAUAAACUCUAAGAAUAAACCUUAAAAAUCUAAUCUUUUCAUACUAUAACCUUAAAAUCUUAAAGUUUAAUUCAAAUUCAAUAUUUUUAAAAAUCUAAUCUUAAUUUUUAAAUCUAAACUCAAUACUAUAUCCCAAACCCUAAACUCUAUGUAUAAUCUUUAUAUCCUAAAUAACUAAUCUAAACAUUAAAUCUAAUGUUUUUAAAGUUAAACAAAAAAAUCAUAAAAUUUUCAUACUAUAACCUCAAAACAUUAAAUUUAAUAUUUUUUAAAAAUUAAUUCCAAAACUUAAAUUUAUACCUCAAACAUUAUUUUCCAAACCAUAUACUAUAACCCUAAACCUUAUACCCAAAUCAUAAAAUCCAAACACCAAACACCAAAACUUAAACAUAAACUACUAAUCUAAAAUUUUAAAACCUUAUUCUCAAAUUUACUCAAAACCUUAAACCUAACACUCCAAAUUAACCUUAUAUCAUAACACAAUACUACUUAAAUAACUUUAUAAAUUAUAUUAAAUCAAGUUGUGUUACCCUUAACCCAAACCUAACCCCAAUUCUAUCAGAACUUUUCAAUUUUAUAUUUUCAAUUUAAUCUUAUAAAAUUUAAAACUCAUACAAUAAAUAUAUACCUCAUUACCUAUUUUCUUAACUCCAAACCUUUAAUCAUAAAUAUAAACUUUCAACUUUAAACUUUUAAUUAUCAAACCCAAAUUCUAAUAUAUCUAAGUUGCAAUUCUAUUGAAAUCAAAACAUAAACAACAAAAACAUAAAUAUAAUCCUAAACUAUGGAAUCUAAUAAUAAACUAUUAAAGAGAUAGAGUGCUGAUUUCUCAUUGGUUCAUUUUGGAAUGGUGUGGAUAACCAUUUUAUGUUCCUAACCAUUGAUAAUAUUAGAUCCAACGGAUCAGAUUGAUUUGGUUUUGUUUUAACUUUUUCUUCCCUUCUCCCCCUCACAAGUUCCAUCGUCUCAUCUCCUCUUUCUUUGUUUUUGACUAAGAUUAUUCCUUCUUCUCCUCACGUACUCCAUCUUCUGCUCCUCAUCUACUCUUUUUCUCCUCUUCUUAUCAAUCUCAACUUAUCUCCUUUGCUCAAUCUCCAUUCAUCUCCAUGUCUAUCCCUACUCUACCUCCAUUCACACCUGCCGUCAUUAGCAUUAGUCGCCAUUGUCGUAGAGACCAAGCCGAUUUCAUGACUCUGUGUUUCAUCCUAUUUCUUCAUUGUUUGUGAAGAAGCAAGAUCUGAGAAGAAGCAGACACGUCGGAGGUGGUGGCGUGACGGAGGAAACGCGCUGGAGGUGGUAUAGUGACGGAACAGACAUGCCGGAUCUGGUGGUGUGACGAAGGAAACGCGACGGAGAUGGUGGUGAAGCACGGAAGCUACGGCGGUGGAGGUGCUGAAGCCGACGGUGACAUUCCUCUUUACCCGUAUAGAUGACGAUGUAUUUGUGUGUAUCUGUGUAUUUGUGUAUUUUGUGUAAUAUAUAUAAUAAUAAUAAUUUAAAAACAAAAAUUAAUUUUGUUUUUUUUUCUGAA